AGGAUGAACGCUGGCGGUCUGCUUAACACAUGCAAGUCGAACGGAGUAGCAAUACUUAGUGGCGGACGGGUGAGUAACGCGUGAGAAUCUACCUUCAGGACGGAGACAACAGUUGGAAACGACUGCUAACCCCCGAUGUACUGAAAAGGCAAAUAUUUAUAGCCUGAAGAAGAGCUCGCGUCCGAUUAGCUAGUUGGAGAGGUAAAAGCUCACCAAGGCGACGAUCGGUAGCUGGUCUGAGAGGACGAUCAGCCACACUGGGACUGAGACACGGCCCAGACUCCUACGGGAGGCAGCAGUGGGGAAUUUUCCGCAAUGGGCGAAAGCCUGACGGAGCAAGACCGCGUGGGGGAAGAAGGCUCUUGGGUUGUAAACCCCUUUUCUCUGGGAAGAACACAAUGACGGUACCAGAGGAAUCAGCAUCGGCUAACUCCGUGCCCAGCAGCCGC
rnacentral:rRNA from 1 species